UGAAAAAUAUCGGUCAAUUUCACUCUCGGCCACACCCACAAGUAACCCCAAUAAGCUUCCAAAAUAAAACUUGAAGGAUGUUUUGCUGGAGAUUCAUACCGAAAUCCCACGAUCAUUGGUGUGAAUGAAAGUAAGUAUCUUAAAAUAUAAUUAAAAAUACAUUUUUAUGUCAUUAUUUGGUAAGAAAAUAAAACAUUUAAUAAAACUUAUUAAAUCUAACCUGGGCUGAUUUUAGGUUUUUACCUGCUACCUUGGUAAAUUGCCUAACAAUAACAAACUUGGGGCGAUAAUGAAUCAUGGCCAGGAUGCAAUCUGUGCGUUCUUCAUAUUUGGGUGGGGCAAGGGCGAUAUCUGGGGAUUUUUUACUGUCCUCUGUACUUAAGUUAUUAGCGUUGGAACUGGGGCAACGGAAGGUGAUGUGAACCAGGCAUGCGUAGGAAUGGGCAAUUCAUCGAAAAAUAAUCAAAAACCGCAAUUUAAAACCUCUAAUUGACGUAAUCUUCUCUACUACUUUUUUUUUGUUCUUAUAAUACUUAAAAAAACUUUUAAUACUUUCCCCAGUGUGUGUUCGUGUACUGUCCCCUUCAAAACAUACUACCGCGCGUGGUCUCACGUGACUCCGCCCCGCGCAGUCUGCGACAUGGAGGCGAAAUGAAACGCCAAUCCGUCUGAGCAACUCCAGUAGCUUGUACCAAACAAAAACGUCGUGUCCGUCGUGUGGACACAUUGUGGCUUUAGUGAAAGAGACACGGAACAAAAAGAGGUCAAAUGUGAACACUGCGGAAGAACAGCUUCAGCGACCAAAGAACCUUCCAGAUGCUUAGCUUCAGAGACACCAUCUGAAGGAACUGAAGGAAUGUGUUGAAAACACAACGCAAAUCUGCUUCUUUGAGAAACUUUUAGGAGCUGGCAUCAUAUCCAUUGAGGGAACACUUAGGAUGGUGACAUCACAGCUGCUGAAGGCACCCCAAUAGGUGUCAACCCUCCAUAAUCUAAUUUAUUUGUAAUAUCUUUCACUUAAGAUUUUUCUGGAACCGACUUGUAUAAUCCUGCUGUUCUGUUUUCUCUAGACAUCAUACUGCUGAGUCAUAUUAGCAUUUAGCAUUCAUGUCCAGUACAUCUAACUUAUGCUGAAUUUCCUUGGCUAAUGUGGAAAAUGUCCUCCAUUACGAUCAUCAUCAUCGCUGUUGGCACAGAGCCUCCGUGGGUUACAUUGCCCCCUCACAGCUCAAAGGUUGAGUGUCUCAAUCUCGCAUAGCAUUUUCUUAAAUUACCCGGUCAUUUUAAUCAGAUGUUAAAUAAAGAAAACAUGAAAAGAAAAGCUAAUGCAUGCUUUUAAUAUUUACAAAUAUAACUGUUAUGGUUUUAUGACGAAUGACUUGAGAGGAAUGUAUUUUGUUCUAUAAAUAUAGAAUUUUCUUGAAAUAGGAAAUUUAGAUUUAUGUGUGAUACUUUCGAGACUUCGAAGAAAAAGAAACAGAGAGCGAAACGCGUGGGGAAAAUUUUGCGAUGGGUUUGCGGCUUGUCGCAUGUGGCGGUCAGGGGUGUGAGCCCAGUCAUGUGACCCUCCACCCCUGAAGGGUCACACACCCAGCAAGGUCAACACUUGAAUGAUCUCAAGGGCUUCUAAUAUCAGCAACCAUCCGUUGUUUCACAUUGCAAACAUAAACAUGUUUGUACAGUUAUGAAUGAACAGGAACAUCGCAAAAAUAAUUUAAUCGUCUUUAUUUACAUAGCACCUUUCGUACAUGAAAUGCAACUCAAAGUGUAAGUCGAGAAGGAAAAAUAACAGGCUUACAGAGUAAAGAAUUAGAGACAAGGAUUAAAAUUACUACAAAAAGGUGAUGCAAAGUGAUGAUAUAAAAAAGGACACCACAGUCAAGAUGAAAGCACUAAACGGUGAAAUAAAAAAAUACAUUUUAAUACAAUAUUAUGAUAUAAUUUAAAAAAUAACUUUGUUCCAGAAUGGCAAUGACAUAAUCUGCUCUCUGACACGCUGUUGAUAGAUACACGCAACACCAGCUAAGGACGUCACCUCACUUUCCUUAGUAUAUGCUCUGCCCACGGGAGACGCCCAUUACGAAUCAGCAGACUACAAAAUAUGCAGAAGAAGAACAAUUUUUAAAAAAAAGCAAAAGAGUGACAGAUAUAUUUAUACAAAUAUAUUUGGAGUUAUUAGAAGGAGAAUCUGUGACAACCGGAAGAGUGAACCAUUUUGGGUUGACCUUUGGGAAAACGGCGUAGCACCCCUGCAGCGGAUGUGCACGCGAUAGAUGGCCCACGGGCGCUAACAAGUGGGUCGCUCUAUGCACUGGCCUCCGGUGCUGAGCAUUGUGGGAAACCCUCUUCUGCGAGUACAGCAGUGACUCCCAUACAGUUGCGGGAGCCUCGCCGGCCCUUUAUGCUUUGAAAAUCAUGAGCUCCACACAGGGCAGCCUUCGAAGUCGCUGGAGAGCAACAGCUAUUGAUGGCGUGAGAAGCGGGGUUCAGAUCCCGUGACCGUUAAUGAGGCCACUUGCAGUCUAGGAGAUGGUGGUCUGCAGCAAGCAAAGCGUGAAGAUGAGCAGCAUGUGGCAAGCAUGGCCUGUGCCGGCUGCAAUCCUCAUCUGCUACACCCCAGCCUCAUGUGGCUGGUUCUCGUGAAGUAUGUAGCCAAUAAAAGGAAGCGGCCCCCUAUCUCUACACGUGAGCCGCGGAUACCGAGAGACAGACCUGCGCCAGCCGCUUCAGAAGAAAGCCACAGCGUGAGGCUACAGCGGCUGGAUGUGUCGACAAUGCACAGAGCCGUCACGGAAAAAACAGGAGGCUGGGGGAGCAUACUGCCCCGGGGGGGGGGCUCACAGCCUCCUUUGCUGCCUGCCAUACUGUCCUCCACAGGUGCAAUUAUAUGAUUUGACCCAAAGGGGGGGGGGGGGCUGCUACAAAUCACUAAAAGGGUUUAAGAAAACAAGACACAAGAAUUAGGGUGGCUGAAGACACCUUAAAUUGGGUCUAGCAUCGUCUGUGUUCCCCUAAAUGCCCUUUGUAAGGUAUGGAUGGAUCCUGCUGGCUACUUCCACAUCUGUGGGAGAAGGAGCACUCAGCCCUGCCUCUUACCCAGUUUGGGGAUCACCUGCUACCCCCAUUAACAUAUGUGCCCUCGUUUCCGUAUCAUCCAUCCAUGGCAAGGGAGUGAGGCUUUGAGGAGUCCAAUGGAGCUUGUCAUGAAAGUGAGCUAAUCCUCCCCAAAAAAAAUAUCAACAUGAAAAAAUAGAGAGCUUGAGAAAGACGAAUGAAAGAAGGGGGGGAGUAACAGGAAGUCACCCCCCCCUCUCCGCCGCUGUGGCUAACGGGUCCUGAUCAAAGGGAGUGAUUGGGUUUUCUGCUGCUGGGGGACAGGGGAGUGACACCCAUGGAGUCGGUUCAACGGCUGGGUACAGAUGGCAAAAGCAUCUGGGGUGGGGGCGGGCAAGGCGGCAACGCUCCGCCAGAAUCCAAAUCUUCCUUUAUUGCCUGGGUGCCACUCGCCAGACAAACGGAUCUGCUGGGCUGGAAUUGCUGGGAUAUAAGCCGCUGGAUUGAAAGGACAUAGCCGACUGGCUGGACACCGGAAAGAGGCCCCGUCACAUCUCUUGUUGCCGAGAUCCACUGCAAACAAUCCUGUUGACGUAAAGCAAUUUGGCAGGUGUUCUGUGGCCAGAAGGGGAGUUUAAAAUCCCUUCAAACACCAUAUUCCUUCCAAACAGGAAAUUAAUUAGGAAAUGAGUUAUCAAACAGUAUUUCAAACAGCCUCACAGUUUUGGGAGAGGUACUAUGCGGUACUAUACUAUUGCACUUGUUGCUUCUUGAAACAAAACAAUGACCGUUGAGUCAAUUCUUAAUGUGUAAAAAGUAGAGCAUUUUUUUCAAUUUCUUUUUUCAAUUUUUUUUCAUUUUCUUAAUUUCUUAAAAACCAUGGCUGGCUUUGAUAUCCUGCCCUGAGGAAUCCAGCUGUUGUCUUGAGUGAUCUGUGGCCAUAGUCAGUGCACUUACUAAACUAGAAUCGGAGUGCCUUAAGCAGAAGAGAAUGUAGCACGAGAACGAGCAAAAAAAUUUCCCUUCAGUAGCGAAAAUAGAGCAAUGCAGCGCCUUCCUUAACAAAAACAGAGCGAAGCAGCCCCUUUCGUUAAUGAAAAGAGAGAGGUGCACCACCUUCCUUACUGAAAACCGAGAGAUAAUAAUAAUAAUUGAUACUUUAUUGAUCCCCGUAGGGUAAUUGUCUUUACCUACAACUUGCUCUUUUUUCAUAGAGGAAGUUGUCUGCGAAGGGCUGCCACCCGUAGCGGCGCCCAGGGAGCUGGAGGUUAAGGGCCUCGCUCAAGGACCCACAGGCUGAGGCUGGGUUUGAACCUGUGAUCUUCUGAUUACAGGCACACAUGUUUAGCCCACAGAACCAUACGCUGCCCCCCGUCCACGAUGUACCCCAUCGCUAAUGAAAACAGAGCGAUGUGCCCCCUUCAUCAGUGAAAAUGGAGCCAUGCAAACCCCCUUUAACUAACAACAAUGCAAUGACGCAUCUUCUUCUUCAAGCACAUAUCUGCACACCCUUUGUUAAUGCAAACAGCAGUUCACCCCAGUUGUUAACAAUAAUUAACAAAAAAUGCAACACUGUAUCCCUGUCAUUAAGCAUAUUUGAAAAUGCCAUCCAUAACACACUUCCCUGCCCUGUGUGAAAACAUAUUUACUUUGUUCUUAAACUCUAUCAUUUAACCCUUAGAUUCUUAAUGAAGUCCAGAGAAACAUCCUUCUUGGUUACUUGAAAACAACACAUCCCCUAGGGUGAAGAACAUCCCAUUUCCUAAGCAGUGCAGUAAGAGGCACUUCCAGUGACUGGUAAGCACUGUCGUAACACCAUUAGCAUCAGUAAUCUCUCUGUUGUCAGCCCAGCCUCCCUGGAAAAUUCUCAAUGAAAGUUCAAGUGGCUCAGCUCUGCUGAAACAAGACAGACCAAUGAGUGUGCGAGGAGGCCUCGGGCAAGCGUGUGAUUCGUCCUCAGCCUCCAAAGAUGUGCACAAGUGUGGCGCACAUGUGUGGCUCUCAUGAUGAAAGCAGAGCUGGACCCCAGCAGCCGAUGUGGUGAAUUUCCUGUGCAGCUUCCGGAAUCGGCUGUAGACCGGCAAGACCCAGAAUAGGACAAGCGUGUAAAGAAAAUGGAUGGACAGCUGAAAUGUUUUAAGAGGAAGAGUAAAUGUUUGAGGUGCCUUUGAAGGCAUGAGGAUGGAUUUCAGAAUUAAACCGACCUAAGAAUAAUACACAUACUGAUAUAAAAGGUUAAAAAUAAAAUAAAUAAGGAAUAAAAAAAAUUGAGUGGCUGUUUUUAAGCUACAGAGUCCCCCCCCCCCCAUGGAGCGCACUAGGAAAACAGCUGGCAGAAAGCGCUUGUGAUUCUCAGCAUCGCCCGCUAGUCCUCUAAUUUGCUGCAGAGCCUCUCCUCCACGCCCAGCUGCCCUCUUUAGCUCCUGCAUCACUUCACCACAGACUAACGGGUUCAGGAAAAUAAACAAGCAAAGGGACAAAAAAAAGAAAAUCAAUCAGUCAUCAUCGCCUAGACGACUCAAACAUAAAGCCAAUUUCAAUUUCACGAUGCAUAAGUUUGCUUACUGCAUGUAGACCUAUAGGACGUUAAAAAAAGAGCUCAAAAAGGUUCUAAUUAUUAUGUUAGAUUUUUAUUUAUUUUUGCAAAUUUCUGGAAAAGUCUGGAUUUAUAAGGGAGUCAUUUUCCAAAUGCGUUUUUACUGAAUCGGUUUAAAGGAUAAGCGUUACUGUGAAUUUAAAGGGCUGCGGCCAUGUGAAGUUGAAAAACUUAGUGCAGCAUAAAAUCAUACAAUCGUCCGAUAUCCAAAACCUGCAAGCUCUCGGACUGCAGCAUACUGAUUUAACUUCAUACGGUGCUGCGGUUGUAAGACGGUGAGAAAAGAGGGCAGGGUGCCGGCCAUGGGGGCCGGUGUGGAAAUUACUGAGAACGCGGUCACGCGCGUUUGCUGACGGGAUCCUUCUGGGCAUUUCACAACGCCCCCUCUGCGGGUUGCAGGGAAAUGUGAGAGCGGCUUUUUGAAAUACAGCCACAUAAAAAAGAAAUUUAAGAACUGAUUUGAUCAAA